rnacentral:rRNA from 1 species
AAAUUGAAGAGUUUGAUCAUGGCUCAGAUUGAACGCUGGCGGCAGGCCUAACACAUGCAAGUCGAACGGUAACAGAAAGCAGCUUGCUGCUUUGCUGACGAGUGGCGGACGGGUGAGUAAUGUCUGGGAAACUGCCCGAUGGAGGGGGAUAACUACUGGAAACGGUAGCUAAUACCGCAUAACGUCGCAAGACCAAAGAGGGGGACCUUAGGGCCUCUUGCCAUCGGAUGUGCCCAGAUGGGAUUAGCUAGUAGGUGGGGUAAA